AUUGAACGCUGGCGGCAUGCCUUACACAUGCAAGUCGAACGGCAGCACGGGUGCUUGCACCUGGUGGCGAGUGGCGAACGGGUGAGUAAUACAUCGGAACAUGUCCUGUAGUGGGGGAUAGCCCGGCGAAAGCCGGAUUAAUACCGCAUACGAUCUACGGAUGAAAGCGGGGGACCUUCGGGCCUCGCGCUAUAGGGUUGGCCGAUGGCUGAUUAGCUAGUUGGUGGGGUAAAGGCCUACCAAGGCGACGAUCAGUAGCUGGUCUGAGAGGACGACCAGCCACACUGGGACUGAGACACGGCCCAGACUCCUACGGGAGGCAGCAGUGGGGAAUUUUGGACAAUGGGCGAAAGCCUGAUCCAGCAAUGCCGCGUGUGUGAAGAAGGCCUUCGGGUUGUAAAGCACUUUUGUCCGGAAAGAAAUCCUUGGCCCUAAUACGGUCGGGGGAUGGCGGUACCGGAAGAAUAAGCACCGGCUAACUACGUG
rnacentral:rRNA from 1 species